GUUCCCCAAUAAAGAUUGGCAUUGCUUCCUGAGACUUCUACUGUGUUCGGACCCUUAUUAGCAGUGCCCGAUCCCAUUCCUUUCCCCGCGGGUCGUGGCAAAAAGGGAUCGAAAAGGAAAAAAGAAGAAAACUAAGCUUCAGCAGAAAGAGCUGCCUGUUCUAAGCGUAUUAACAGGGAACAACAUGAAGGGUUCGACCACGAGGAGUCCAGGUCAUCAACCGUCAUCCUGAUGGAAAUUUCCAGGACCACGGCCUAAUACAGACUAAUGGGUUUUAAAUCAUUGGUGGACACCCCUCAGCAACGGUGAUUGCCCACGAAAGGAGAAACCAACACAGAGUUGGCCCGCGAAGAGGGAACCAAGCAGGAUGCAGCCUGCGAAACCUCCACCAAUGGACUGAUGACAUGACUUUGGGGGGAGGUGGCAAAGAAGGGUAUAAUAAGGGCUGUUUCUGUUCCCCUUUGUGGACCACGGCAGGAACAGGGGUUUCCUCCAGUCGCCCGGCUAGCCGUUUUUGCUUGUUUGUGGCAUUAAUAAAUCUUUUAUGCCUUGCAACCUAAA